GUGCUCGUUUCGGCAGCACAUAUACAAAAAUUGGAACGAUACAGAGAAGAUUAGCCUGGCCCCUGCGCAAGGAUGACACGCAAAAUUCGUGAAGUGUUCCAUAUUUUU
rnacentral:snRNA from 1 species